rnacentral:rRNA from 1 species
AGUGAACGCUGGCGGUAGGCCUAACACAUGCAAGUCGAACGGCAGCACAGUAAGAGCUUGCUCUUACGGGUGGCGAGUGGCGGACGGGUGAGGAAUACAUCGGAAUCUACUUUUUCGUGGGGGAUAACGUAGGGAAACUUACGCUAAUACCGCAUACGACCUACGGGUGAAAGCAGGGGAUCUUCGGACCUUGCGCGAUUGAAUGAGCCGAUGUCGGAUUAGCUAGUUGGCGGGGUAAAGGCCCACCAAGGCGACGAUCCGUAGCUGGUCUGAGAGGAUGAUCAGCCACACUGGAACUGAGCCACGGUCCAGACUCCUACGGGAGGCAGCAGUGGGGAAUAUUGGACAAUGGGCGCAAGCCUGAUCCAGCCAUACCGCGUGGGUGAAGAAGGCCUUCGGGUUGUAAAGCCCUUUUGUUGGGAAAGAAAAGCAGCAGGUUAAUACCCCGCUGUUCUGACGGUACCCAAAGAAUAAGCGCCGGCUAACUUCGUG